CUGACUGCUAUCGGAUUGAUACUAAGCCAUGCGAGUCUUUGUAGUAAUACAAGGCAGACGGCUCAGUAACACGUAGUCAACCUACCCUAUGGACGAGAAUAAUCUCGGGAAACUGAGCAUAAUUCUUGAUAGAUCAUAAUGCCUGGAAUGGUUUAUGGUUAAAAUGAUUCGUCGCCAUAGGAUGGGACUGCGGCCUAUCAGCUUGUUGGUGAGGUAAUGGCCCACCAAGGCGAUUACAGGUACGGGCUCUGAGAGGAGAAGCCCGGAGAUGGGUACUGAGACACGGACCCAGGCCCUAUGGGGCGCAGCAGGCGAGAAAACUUUGCAAUGUGCGAAAGCACGACAAGGUUAAUCCGAGUGAUUUCUGCUAAAGAAAUCUUUUGUCAGUCGUAAAACCACUGGCGAAUAAGGGGUGGGCAAGUUCUGGUGUCAGCCGCCGCGGUAAAACCAGCACCUCAAGUGGUCAGGAUGAUUAUUGGGCCUAAAGCAUCCGUAGCCGGCUUUGUAAGUUUUCGGUUAAAUCCAUGUGCUCAACGCAUGGGCUGCCGAAAAUACUGCAUGGCUAGGGAGUGGGAGAGGUAGACGGUACUCAGUAGGAAGGGGUAAAAUCCUUUGAUCUAUUGAUGACCACCUGUGGCGAAGGCGGUCUACCAGAACACGUUCGACGGUGAGGGAUGAAAGCUGGGGGAGCAAACCGGAUUAGAUACCCGGGUAGUCCCAGCUGUAAACGAUGCAGACUCGAUGAUGCAUUGGCAUAAUAGCCAGUGCAGUGUCGCAGGGAAGCCGUUAAGUCUGCCGCCUGGGAAGUACGUACGCAAGUAUGAAACUUAAAGGAAUUGGCGGGGGAGCACCA
rnacentral:rRNA from 1 species